CGUAGGGUGCGAGCGUUAAUCGGAAUUACUGGGCGUAAAGCGUGCGCAGGCGGUUUGUUAAGAUAGGCGUGAAAUCCCCGGGCUCAACCUGGGAACUGCGCUUAUGACUGGCAAGCUAGAGUACGGCAGAGGGGGUGGAAUUCCACGUGUAGCAGUGAAAUGCGUAGAGAUGUGGAGGAACACCAAUGGCGAAGGCAGCCCCCUGGGUCGAUACUGACGCUCAUGCACGGAAGCGUGGGUAGCAAACAGGAUUAGAUACCCUGGUAGUCCACGCCCUAAACGAUGUCAACUAGGUGUUGGGAGGGUAAAACCUUUUAGUAUCGGAGCUAACGCGUGAAGUUGACUGCCUGGGGAGUACGGCCGCAAGGUUA
rnacentral:rRNA from 1 species